rnacentral:rRNA from 1 species
AUUGAACGCUGGCGGCAGGCCUAACACAUGCAAGUCGAACGAGCGGCGGACGGGUGAGUAAUGUAUGGGGAUCUGCCUGAUGGAGGGGGAUAACUACUGGAAACGGUAGCUAAUACCGCAUACCAUCAGAUGUACCCAGAUGGGAUUAGAUAGUAGGUGGGGUAAAGGCUUACCUAGGCGACGAUCCCUAGCUGGUCUGAGAGGAUGAUGCGCCAGACGGGAACUGAGAAACGGUCCAGACUCCUACGGGAGGCAGCAGUGGGGAAUAUUGUAAAAUGGGCGCAAGCCUGAUGCAGCCAUGCCGCGUGUAUGAAGAAGGCCUUCGGGUUGUAAAGUACUUUCAGCUGGGAGGCGUUACCGACAGAAGAAGCACCGGCUAACUCCGUGCCAGCAGCCGCGGUAAUAC